rnacentral:rRNA from 1 species
GACGAACGCUGGCGGCGUGCUUAACACAUGCAAGUCGAACGGAAAGGCCCUGCUUUUGUGGGGUGCUCGAGUGGCGAACGGGUGAGUAACACGUGAGUAACCUGCCCUUGACUUUGGGAUAACUUCAGGAAACUGGGGCUAAUACCGGAUAGGAGCUCCUGCUGCAUGGUGGGGGUUGGAAAGUUUCGGCGGUUGGGGAUGGACUCGCGGCUUAUCAGCUUGUUGGUGGGGUAGUGGCUUACCAAGGCUUUGACGGGUAGCCGGCCUGAGAGGGUGACCGGCAACAUUGGGACGGAGAUACGGCCAGACUCCUACGGGAGGCAGCAGUGGGGAAUAUUGCACAAUGGGCGGAAGCCUGAUGCAGCAACGCCGCGUGCGGGAUGACGGCCUUCGGGUUGUAAACCGCUUUCGCCUGUGACGAAGCGUGAGUGACGGUAAUGGGUAAAGAAGCACCGGCUAACUACGUG